UACGAAGGGGGCUAGCGUUGUUCGGAAUUACUGGGCGUAAAGCGCACGUAGGCGGAUAUUUAAAGUCAGGGGUGAAAUCCCAGAGCUCAACUCUGGAACUGCCUUUGAUACUGGGUAUCUUGAGUAUGGAAGAGGUAAGUGGAAUUCCGAGUGUAGAGGUGAAAUUCGUAGAUAUUCGGAGGAACACCAGUGGCGAAGGCGGCUCACUGGUCCAUUACUGACGCUGAGGUGCGAAAAGCGUGGGGGAGCAAACAGG
rnacentral:rRNA from 1 species